UCAAAAACAAAACAAAACAAAACAAAACAAAAUAGAUAGAUGGAUAGGCAGAUAUAAAAAAGCUGUAAAUUGGGUCUUCAUCAUUCUCUAUAACUCUCCAUUUUUUUCUUUUCCAUUUCCACACUACCCAUGCCUCAGCCCUCAGUCUAGAUGACGUUCAUGAUGCCGUCACUGCCCUGUUAUUUGUGGUGUUGUUUUUUGUUCCCUUUGUUUCCAUAGCAGAAUCACUGAGACUAGACCAUUUAAAAAGAGGAGGUGUUUACUCAGCUCACAGUUCCCGAGGCAGGGUGGCUCAGGGCCACGUGGCUAUGUCCAUCCAGGUCCCUCGCGCGUUGUGGCUUAACACAGGUGACUUAGUCGUGUGGGGCGGGUGUGAGUGUGCGGAGGAGGAGAUGAGGGAGGGAGGCAAGGUGUGAACCCGCUUUAGGGCAUCCCACCUCAGAGAAACAAUCAAGUCUCCAGGGGAAGAAAGGAGUUCUCUCAAAGGCUCCGCUUCCCAACUGUGUCACCCUGGCCCUGGCCGCCAAGCGUCUUCAUGCAUGCCGGUGGGCGGGGACAAACACAUCAAGCCUUUCCUGUCAAUUUAGUCGUCGGUUAGACACCGCUGUGCCUACCAGCACCAGCCCAUCAUGGGUGAGGUCCGGGGUUUUAACCUCUUCCAGCAGUGGCCAGACAUCCUCCUGCCGGAACAUCACUGUUACCUAGGAGCGACAAGGGUUGACAGAGAAUCUUGCAGGUUCAUAAGAAUUAAAGCCUUAAUUUUGGCAGUCCUACAUGCCUGGAUAAGAAAUUGGGGUUCGUCUGAUGAAGAACGGUGGGGAACCAUGAAGUUCUGAUUGAUAGUUUACCACCUGGCCAGCGACAGGAGUAAUUGCCAGGGCCAAUUACUUCUCUGUUCUACUUCCCUGAAUUAUAUAUUUUUUCCUUUUU